CCCUCGAUAGCUCAGUUGGCAGAGCGGGGGACUGUAGAUGUUACAACGGUGAUCCUUAGGUUGCUGGUUCAAAUCCGGCUCGAGGGA
rnacentral:tRNA from 1 species